rnacentral:SRP_RNA from 1 species
GCUGGGCAUGGUGGCUCAUGCCUGUAAUCCCAGCAACCUGGGAAGCUGAGGCAGGAGAAUCGCUUGAACCCGGGAGGCGGAGGUUGCAGUGAGCCAAGAUGGCGCCACUACACUCCAGCCUGGGUGACAGAGUGAGACUCCGUCUCAA